GUUUCCAUAGUGUAGUGGUUAUCACGUUUGCUUUUACACGAAAGGUCCCCAGUUCGAAACUGGGUGGAAACA
rnacentral:tRNA from 1 species